GACGAACGCUGGCGGCGUGCCUAAUACAUGCAAGUCGAACGCUUUUUCUUUCACCGGAGCUUGCUCCACCGAAAGAAAAGGAGUGGCGGACGGGUGAGUAACACGUGGGUAACCUGCCCAUCAGAAGGGGAUAACACUUGGAAACAGGUGCUAAUACCGUAUAACAAUCGAAGCCGCAUGGUUUUGAUUUGAAAGGCGCUUUUGCGUCGCUGAUGGAUGGACCCGCGGUGCAUUAGCUAGUUGGUGAGGUAACGGCUCACCAAGGCCACGAUGCAUAGCCGACCUGAGAGGGUGAUCGGCCACACUGGGACUGAGACACGGCCCAGACUCCUACGGGAGGCAGCAGUAGGGAAUCUUCGGCAAUGGACGAAAGUCUGACCGAGCAACGCCGCGUGAGUGAAGAAGGUUUUCGGAUCGUAAAACUCUGUUGUUAGAGAAGAACAAGGGUGAGAGUAAAUGUUCACCCCUUGACGGUAUCUAACCAGAAAGCCACGGCUAACUACGUGCCAGCCGC
rnacentral:rRNA from 1 species